AUGGUCCGUCGGCUCCCGGCGUGCGGGCACCUGUUCCACGCGGGCUGCGUCGACCGGUGGCUGCACCAGCACGCCACGUGCCCGCUGUGCCGCACCGCUGUCAUCGUCGCCGGCGCACCCCAGCAGCGACCGGCCGAGCUGCCUGUCUGACGUACACGUACGUGCACGCUGGUGUAUUCUUUUUAUAACUGCAGCGCUUGCAUCACGAAUGUUUUUGAGAGAGAAUCGUGGUCGGAUUAUGUGCAACUGUCGUUCUAG
rnacentral:rRNA from 1 species